rnacentral:rRNA from 1 species
AAAGCUAGGGGAGCGUACGGGAUUAGAUACCCCGGUAGUCCUAGCUGUAAACGAUGGAUGCUGGUUCUGGGGGGUGUAAAUUCCCUCUGUGCCGAAGCAAACGCGUUAAGCAUCCCGCCUGGGGACUACGGCCGCAAGGCUAAAACUCAAACGAAUUGACGGGGGCCCGCACAAGCAGCGGAGCGUGUGGUUUAAUUCGAUGCUACACGAAGAACCUUACCUGGGUUUGACAUGCACGUGGUAGGGAACCGAAAGGGGACCGACCUUCGGGAGCGUGCACAGGUGCUGCAUGGCUGUCGUCAGCUCGUGCCGUGAGGUGUCGGGUUAAGUCCCGUAACGAGCGCAACCCUUGCCCUUAGUUACAAGUGUCUAAGGGGACUGCCCGGGACAACUGGGAGGAAGGUGGGGAUGACGUCAAGUCAGCAUGGCCUUUAUAUCCAGGGCUACACACACGCUACAAUGGCCGGUACAAUAGGUUGCGAAGUCGUGAGGCGGAGCCAAUCCUCAAAGCCGGUCUCAGUUCGAAUUGCAGUCUGCAACUCGACUGCAUGAAGCUGGAGUUGCUAGUAAUCGCAGGUCAGCUAUACUGCGGUGAUACGUUCCCGGGCCUUGUACACACCGCCCGUCACGUCAUGGAAGCUGGCAACGCCUGAAGCCGGUGAGCUAACCCGAAAGGGAGCAGCCGUCGAGGGUGGGGCUGG